rnacentral:rRNA from 1 species
GAUGAACGCUAGCUACAGGCUUAACACAUGCAAGUCGAGGGGAAANNGNCAUUGAGUGCUUGCACUCUUUGGACGUCGACCGGCGCACGGGUGAGUAACGCGUAUCCAACCUUCCCAUUACUGUGGGAUAACCUGCCGAAAGGCAGACUAAUACCGCAUAGUCUUCGAUGACGGCAUCAGAUUUGAAGUAAAGAUUUAUCGGUAAUGGAUGGGGAUGCGUCUGAUUAGCUUGUUGGCGGGGUAACGGCCCACCAAGGCUACGAUCAGUAGGGGUUCUGAGAGGAAGGUCCCCCACAUUGGAACUGAGACACGGUCCAAACUCCUACGGGAGGCAGCAGUGAGGAAUAUUGGUCAAUGGACGGAAGUCUGAACCAGCCAAGUAGCGUGCAGGAUGACGGCCCUAUGGGUUGUAAACUGCUUUUGUAUGGGGAUAAAGUUAGGGACGUGUCCCUAUUUGCAGGUACCAUACGAAUAAGGACCGGCUAAUUNNGUGCCAGCAGCCGCGGUAAUACGGAAGGUCCAGGCGUUAUCCGGAUUUAUUGGGUUUAAAGGGAGCGUAGGCUGGAGAUUAAGUGUGUUGUGAAAUGUAGACGCUCAACGUCUGAAUUGCAGCGCAUACUGGUUUCCUUGAGUACGCACAACGUUGGCGGAAUUCGUCGUGUAGCGGUGAAAUGCUUAGAUAUGACGAAGAACUCCGAUUGCGAAGGCAGCUGACGGGAGCGCAACUGACGCUUAAGCUCGAAGGUGCGGGUAUCAAACAGG